rnacentral:misc_RNA from 1 species
GGUAUAUGCAAGUUCAACUUCACCAUGUUCCAAAUAUAAACCUCUCUAAUCUUUUCAAACUUCCUAGGGAUUAAAAUUCCUAGAUGACUUGGAGAACACAAGUUAGCCUCUAGAGGGAAUAUGCGAGCUCAUUUUCACCAUGCUCCAAAUAGAAUCCCCUCUUAGGGAUUAAAAUUUGGAUAGUGGACAAGGACAGAACAGAUGGUGAAAAUGAAAAGCACAGGUUUAAUGAGAUCUCUCUAGGCAUCAGAUAUUUUCCAC